UGAUGAUGGUACGGACGUCGCGGU
rnacentral:miRNA from 1 species